ACGGGAGGCAGCAGUGAGGAAUAUUGGUCAAUGGGCGGAAGCCUGAACCAGCCAUGCCGCGUGAAGGAAUGAGGUCCUAUGGAUUGUAAACUUCUUUUGUGCGGGAGCAAUAAGCGCCACGAGUGGCGUGAUGAGAGUACCGUACGAAUAAGCAUCGGCUAACUCCGUGCCAGCAGCCGCGGUAAUACGGAGGAUGCAAGCGUUAUCCGGAUUUAUUGGGUUUAAAGGGUGCGUAGGCUGUGCGACAAGUCAGUGGUGAAAGCCCGUUGCCUAACUACGGAACUGCCAUUGAUACUGCCGUGCUUGAAUCCUGUUGCCGUGGGAGGAAUGAGUAGUGUAGCGGUGAAAUGCAUAGAUAUUACUCAGAACACCGAUUGCGAAGGCAUCUCACGAAGCAGGUAUUGACGCUGAGGCACGAAAGCGUGGGGAUCAAACAGGAUUAGAUACCCUGGUA
rnacentral:rRNA from 1 species